CUCCGAAGGAGGUUUGAGCCGAACGUAGUGAGACCACGUUGCUUUAACAACGGCCCGCAGGGCAAGCAUCGAAGAUGCGCAUAAUCCUCUCAUGCCGACCA
rnacentral:sRNA from 1 species